AUUGAACGCUGGCGGCAUGCCUUACACAUGCAAGUCGAACGGUAACAGGUCUUCGGAUGCUGACGAGUGGCGAACGGGUGAGUAAUACAUCGGAACGUGCCUAGUAGUGGGGGAUAACUACUCGAAAGAGUAGCUAAUACCGCAUGAGAUCUACGGAUGAAAGCAGGGGACCUUUGGGCCUUUUGCUACUAGAGCGGCCGAUGGCAGAUUAGGUAGUUGGUGGGAUAAAAGCUUACCAAGCCGACGAUCUGUAGCUUGUCUGAGAGGACGACCAGCCACACUGGGACUGAGACACGGCCCAGACUCCUACGGGAGGCAGCAGUGGGGAAUUUUGGACAAUGGGGGCAACCCUGAUCCAGCAAUGCCGCGUGCAGGAAGAAGGCCUUCGGGUUGUAAACUGCUUUUGUACGGAACGAAACGGUCUGGGUUAAUACCCUGGGCUAAUGACGGUACCGUAAGAAUAAGCACCGGCUAACUACGUGCCAGCCGCCGCGGUAAGAC
rnacentral:rRNA from 1 species